GGUGGAGUAAUAGCCUACCAAGGCAAUGAUCUAUAGCUGAUCUGAGAGGAUGAUCAGCCCACUGGAACUGAGAUACGGUNCCAGACUUCUACGGGAGGCAGCAGUGGGGAAUAUUGGACAAUGGGCGAAAGCCUGAUCCAGCCAUGUCGCAUGAGUGAAGAAGGCCUUUGGGUUGUAAAGCUCUUUUAGUGAGGAAGAUAAUGACGGUACUCACAGAAGAAGUCCUGGCUAACUCCGUGCCAGCAGCCGCGGUAAUACGGAGAGGGCUAGCGUUAUUCGGAAUUAUUGGGCNUAAAGGGCGCGU
rnacentral:rRNA from 1 species